AAGGAUAUGCUGUCAAUAUAAAAGGACUGGUGGUCUUUUUAAGGGAUAGUCCAUCUAUUGAAUUUUGCCCUUCAGCAGCAUUUGUUUUAGAGCCGGAAAAUGAGUUGUGAGAUGAAGAACUAGACAUUGCGUAUAAUUUAUGCUCUUGAAUAAUAAAAAUUUUUUAAACAAAUGGCCGCUAGUUGAGAUGGACGUUUUUUAGACAAUUUUACAAAUAUUUUUAAGGGGGAGAAUAAAGAAAAACAAAGACAAGUAAACAAGGAAAUAUCCUAAUAAUAAAGCACUA